rnacentral:rRNA from 1 species
CCUACGUGAGGCAGCAGUGGGGAAUAUUGGGCAAUGGGCGCAAGCCUGACCCAGCAACGCCGCGUGAAGGAAGAAGGCUUUCGGGUUGUAAACUUCUUUUCUCAGGGACGAAGCAAGUGACGGUACCUGAGGAAUAAGCCUCGGCUAACUACGUGCCAGCAGCCGCGGUACUACGUAGGUGGCAAGCGUUAUCCGGCUGUACUGGGUGUAAAGGGCGUGUAGGCGGGGAAGCAAGUCAGAUGUGAAAACCACGGGCUCAACCUGUGGCCUGCAUUUGACACUGUUUUUCUUGAGUACUGGAGAGGCAGACGGAAUUCCUAGUGUAGCGGUGAAAUGCGUAGAUAUUAGGAGGAACACCAGUGGCGAAGGCGGUCUGCUGGACAGCAACUGACGCUGAGGCGCGAAAGCGUGGGGAGCAAACAGGAUUAGAUACCCCAGUAGUC